rnacentral:lncRNA from 1 species
GCUCUGCUGUCAGGUCAUGUGUGCUAGUCUUUUCUACUCAAACUUUAUGUCAGUUCCUGGAGGACAGGGACCAGGUCUUACAUUCCUUCCCCCCGCCCCAACAGUGCCUAUCUGAUUCUUAGAAUCAUGGUGAUUUAUUUUUAAUAUGUAUUUUAAUUAUCCUUAAUAUUGUAUUUGCAAAAUCAGCUCUAUUUGGUUUAGAAUAAACCUUGCAAUACAACUUUGGCCAUGUCUAUGGAUUUAUUAGCAUUUCUUAUAAAUGUAAGAAAUUUGUAAUUUUGCACUGCUUUUCACCUUUAGGCCUUGCUCAUACAUAUACAAUCACACUACUAGUAUAAUACACACAUGGUUUGCUUAAUUAUAUUCUGACAAGAUACCUCUGCUUUGCCCAUGCUUACAGCACAGCCCACUAGUCAACUAUGCAAGUGUCCUGUUAUUGCACUUAACAUCAUCAUGUUUUCAGAACAUAAAAUGCCUGUUUAAUACGGUCCUACCUUCCUAUUCUAUCUCUGGCUUAGAAAAGGAGAACAGGAGCUGGCUAGCAUCUUCUAAAUAUAGCCUCUCUCUCCUCUUCCCAUCUCUGGUAGGUCUUUGCCCUGAAACCUAACACUGUCCUUGCUUUGGUUUCUUUCACUUCCUUUCAAAUCUGUUGUCUUCCUGCUUGUACUUUUUUGCUAGAAGGCAGGGCCUAUGAGAAGAGACCCCCCGCCCCCCGAUUUCGUCAGAGCUAGCAAAAGACAGGAAGUUUACACAGAGCAAAAUGAUUUGCUAGAAUUGGUUUUGACCCUUCCUUAAGCUGUUGCUUGUGUCAGAGAUGCUGCUGUCAGGAUUCUGUUGCACAAAGAGAAAGAUAAAAAUAUCUCUCUGACUCGUGCAUUUUCUCCCUUUUCCAUCCUCUUGCCAAGAACACUGGAAAUGGAUCCCAGGCCUAUUGGAGGCAUUAGGUUGUCAGUUUGAAUCCCAGUGGUCGAGAAAGAAAUGUGGGUAAUAACUAGCUGAUGGUGGAGAAGAAAGGAACUCCAGGAGCUGGCAAAGUGGAGGUCCUGGAACUUUCAAGAGCUCCAGUCUCUAUAGGAAAACCUGUGAGGGGAGAAGUCUUCGCGGUAUCACCACUUCCUGUCGACCAGGGCUCAGGCUGCCUUCCUCCGAGCACCACACAUCAAAAGUGAACCCAGAGCAACCCCUCAUUCCGGCUGCAUAUCCUACAACCUGCACUAAAGAGAAUUCUCUGAAGUCACUGCAAGACUCAAAAUCCUACCCACUUCCCGAGUAGCAGAGAAGAUGCAUAUAUUCUGUUGUAAAGAGUCACAGCAGAAAAUGAAACUUGAUCACCGUUACCCUUCUAUACAAAACAUUGUCACAUACAUUGUCUCACUUGAUCUUCACAAACAUCAUGGAGUAUAGGUCAAGGGGAUUAUUAUUUUAACUUUACUUAAGAAAUUGAGGCUCUGGUUACGCAAUUUGCUAACAGGUGCACAGCUGGUUAGUAGGCAUGUGGACUUGACCCAGGCCUGAAUGCUUGAAGUUCAGGUUCAUCCUGUACUUUUUUUCAUCCCCUCAAGCAGCCUCUCAGGAUCUUUGACAACUUUUAUUGUUCUGCCCUAGAAUCUUUUUUUUAUUCAUAAUUUGAGAUCUUUGUAUGUUAAAAAGAAUUUGAUUUCUACUUCUUUUGUCAAAAUUAUUCUCAUGCUUGUCUUAAGUUUUGCCUCCAUUAAGGCCUUUACUCCACAGAAAUAAAUGUUUUAGAGCAGUGAGUCUUAAAUUUCUUCAUGCUUAAAAAUUACCUGAGGAGCUUGCUAAAACUCAGAUUCCUGGGCCCUACCUCCAGAGACUCUGACUCAGUGGGUCAGGGCUGGGGCCUGAGAAUUUGCAUUUCUAAUAAGUUUCCAGAAGAACCUAAUGCUGCUAGCCAGAGACCAUGCUUUUAGACUAUGGGCACAGCUUGAGUAUUUUAUUUUAUUUUAUUUAUCUUAUUUUCUUUUAAUUUUUUAAAAAAUUCUGUUUUUAAGUAAUCUCUACACCCAUCAUAGGGCUCAAAGUCACAAUGCCAAGAUCAAAAGUUGCAUGCUCUUAAGUGAAAUAAGUCCUGUAGAGAAAGACAGCUACCAUAUGUUUUCACUCAUAUGUGGAACAGGAGAAACUUAACAAAGGACUAUAGGGGAGGGGAAGGGGAAAAAUAGUUAAGGAGAGGGAGGCAAACCACAAGAGACUCUUAAAUACUGAGAACAAACUGAGGGUUGAUAGGGGUG